ensembl:lncRNA MLF1-DT MLF1 divergent transcript
CGCAAGUCUUUCUUUCGGGGAAAAUGAAAAGGGGUCAAGAUUUGGACCAGAUGACACCCAAUGUCCCAUUCAACGGUCGCAUUCUGUCAUCCACAGGAAUUAGUCCUGUAUCCGAAACAUUCUCUGGUAGUCAAAAGCUUAUAAGCACAAGAUGUGAAGGAGGCCACACUUAAAAAAAAACUUGAAAUGGAGUUUCAUUUGGAAGGACACUGACUAAGGAAAAACAGAGAAAAGGAUGAAACCCAAGCCAACUCUGCAACUCUAUUAAAAACACCAAGACUUCAAUAUAAUCUCCUUAAAGGGAGGCAGUGCAUUCUUCAUGGCUAGAGCUUCAGCAGCUAUCUAGAACCAUAUGGUGGAAGCCACUUACUGAGAACUGUGAAACAAGAGCCUGGGUCCCUGACAUAUGAAGCCACCAUACCUACCUUAAAGUGUCUUUCACUUGAGGGAAAAAUACAUCUUUCUUAGGUAA